GCCUGGUGGUUCCUUGAGGCAGCUCAUCUGUGCUGAUCCAUGGGGUUUAAUUUAACAGGCACAUAUCGAUCUCUGCGAUUUAAUGCUUGGAAGUUGCCAUUCCCAUGCAGCUUCCACAGCCCGGUUGCAGAAACAUGU
ensembl:snoRNA small nucleolar RNA, H/ACA box 84